UGCAGUCGAGGGGUAGUCUAGCAAUAGAUGAGACCGGCGCACGGGUGCGUAACGCGUAUGCAAUCUACCUUGUACAGGGGGAUAGCCCAGAGAAAUUUGGAUUAAUACCCCAUAGUAUAAUUAAAUGGCAUCAUUUGAUUAUUAAAGUUCCAACGGUACAAGAUGAGCAUGCGUCCUAUUAGCUAGUUGGUGUGGUAACGGCAUACCAAGGCUACGAUAGGUAGGGGUCCUGAGAGGGAGAUCCCCCACACUGGUACUGAGACACGGACCAGACUCCUACGGGAGGCAGCAGUGAGGAAUAUUGGUCAAUGGGCGCAAGCCUGAACCAGCCAUGCCGCGUGCAGGAUGACGGUCCUAUGGAUCGUAAACUGCUUUUGUACAGGAAGAAACACUCCCUCGUGAGGGAGCUUGACGGUACUGUAAGAAUAAGGAUCGGCUAACUCCGUGCCAGCAGCCGCGGUAAUACGGAGGAUCCAAGCGUUAUCCGGAAUCAUUGGGUUUAAAGGGUCCGUAGGCGGGUUUAUAAGUCAGUGGUGAAAGCCCAUCGCUCAACGAUGGAACGGCCAUUGAUACUGUAGAUCUUGAAUUAUUAGGAAGUAACUAGAAUAUGUAGUGUAGCGGUGAAAUGCUUAGAGAUUACAUGGAAUACCAAUUGCGAAGGCAGGUUACUACUAAUGGAUUGACGCUGAUGGACGAAAGCGUGGGUAGCGAACAGGAUUAGAUACCCUGGUAGUCCACGCCGUANACGAUGGAUACUAGCUGUUCGGAGNCAUCUGAGUGGCUAAGCGAAAGUGAUAAGUAUCCCACCUGGGGAGUACGUUCGCAAGAAUGAAACUCAAAGGAAUUGACGGGGGCCCGCACAAGCGGUGGAGCAUGUGGUU
rnacentral:rRNA from 1 species